rnacentral:rRNA from 1 species
GGGCACUCUAAGGAGACUGCCGGUGACAAACCGGAGGAAGGUGGGGAUGACGUCAAGUCAUCAUGGCCCUUACGGCCAGGGCUACACACGUGCUACAAUGGUCGGUACAAAGGGUUGCCAAGCCGCGAGGUGGAGCUAAUCCCAUAAAACCGAUCGUAGUCCGGAUCGCAGUCUGCAACUCGACUGCGUGAAGUCGGAAUCGCUAGUAAUCGUGAAUCAGAAUGUCACGGUGAAUACGUUCCCGGGCCUUGUACACACCGCCCGUCACACCAUGGGAGUGGGUUGCUCCAGAAGUAGCUAG